AAAAAGAAUCAUCUACCAUGGACUUUUGGCAUCUAUAUUUUAAAGUUUCAGUUACCUUUUGUAACUACUGUCUUUUUUUUUUACCCUCCUAUCUGUCUGGAUUUUAAUUCUACCCAUUGAUAUCUUUUCUUUUGGGUGAUGAAAGCACAGACACUGGAUUUUAGACUAGAAUAUGGCCUCCAAGUCUUAGUUUGUGGGUAGCCUUCAGAAAGUUACUUAUCCCCCUUUGGCACUGAUAUUUCUCUUUAAAAUUGAUGUAUUACUGCUAACCUUAUUUAAUUACUAGGAAGACUAAAAAAGAUAUCAGCGCAACAUAUGUCCUGCACAGGGCCUUCCACUUAGCACAACCUCUCUCCCUUCCUCUAUCAGCUGCUGUAAUGAUGACCAAAUCAGGAAAUUCUGGUCCUAACCCCACUGUAUAUCUUAGGAGGUUCAAUCAGCUGAAGUUGGUGCUGGUGUGUCUACCCUAGCAGGUUGCUGAGCAACCCACAGUGAGUUGUAGCAGCCCUGAAAACAGUUUGCAUCAACAAGGCUUCAAUGAUCACAGACAAACACAAGCAUUUACUAAAGCUGAAGGGACAGCAAAUUGCUAGAGUGCUUUCCCAACCCCUUUGCAUUUAUGAUUUCUUUUCUGAGAAUGAUAUAUGAUCCAAUUACAGAGUUCACGAAAGCAUUAGGGAGUUCAUGAAAAGCAAAGGCUUAUACUAAACAUACUAAACAGCUUGUCCUUUGACCAUCACUGAUGGUGGAACCAGCUUCAGCUAUUUUGCUAUCACAGAUUCUAGCCAAAUGAGGGGUAUAAUGGGCUUGAUUCUGACGUACAGCAAACUACAUCAGUUCUGCAUUUCUACCUGGUCACAACCACCUGCAGCUGAAUAGUUGUGCUCUCCCUACACUGGUCUUGGGCUGGAGUCUCAAGUUCCCGGCCAGUGGACUUCACAUAUAUAAGUUACCUGCUUGGCUGCAAAAGGCAACUGAGGUUUUGUGUCAGAGCCAAAUACUUCUGCAGGAGAAUUCAAGAUGGUCAAAUAAGUGGAAGGAAGUUUGUGGAAUGAAACUGUUAUGUCAUUGCACAUUUUCAGAGUCUAUCAGUGUCUGUGGGCAAUUAAUUCUCUUGGAUAUGACACUUAAAUAUGUAAAAGCAUCCCCACAGUUGUUUCUGGCAUUUGUUUCUUAUUCACUGCUAAAU
rnacentral:lncRNA from 1 species